rnacentral:rRNA from 1 species
AUCAUGCAGUCGAGCGGGGUUGUUAGAAGCUUGCUUCUAAUUAACCUAGCGGCGGACGGGUGAGUAACACGUAGGCAACCUGCCCACAAGACAGGGAUAACUACCGGAAACGGUAGCUAAUACCCGAUACAUCCUUUUCCUGCAUGGGAGAAGGAGGAAAGGCGGAGCAAUCUGUCACUUGUGGAUGGGCCUGCGGCGCAUUAGCUAGUUGGUGGGGUAAAGGCCUACCAAGGCGACGAUGCGUAGCCGACCUGAGAGGGUGAUCGGCCACACUGGGACUGAGACACGGCCCAGACUCCUACGGGAGGCAGCAGUAGGGAAUCUUCCGCAAUGGGCGAAAGCCUGACGGAGCAACGCCGCGUGAGUGAUGAAGGUUUUCGGAUCGUAAAGCUCUGUUGCCAGGGAAGAACGCUUGAUAGAGUAACUGCUCUUGAAGUGACGGUACCUGAGAAGAAAGCCCCGGCUAACUACGUGCCAGCAGCCGCGGUAAUACGUAGGGGGCAAGCGUUGUCCGGAAUUAUUGGGCGUAAAGCGCGCGCAGGCGGCUCUUUAAGUCUGGUGUUUAAUCCCGAGGCUCAACUUCGGGUCGCACUGGAAACUGGGGAGCUUGAGUGCAGAAGAGGAGAGUGGAAUUCCACGUGUA